rnacentral:piRNA from 1 species
UCAGCUUACAUCACUGAAAGAAGUCAGGA